ACUAGGAUGGUCUAGUGGUUAUGAUAUCCGCUACGGAUGCGGGAGGUCACGGGUUCGAACCAAGGUCACAGCA